rnacentral:rRNA from 1 species
AGUGAACGCUGGCGGUAGGCCUAACACAUGCAAGUCGAACGGCAGCACAGAGGAGCUUGCUCCUUGGGUGGCGAGUGGCGGACGGGUGAGGAAUACAUCGGAAUCUACUCUGUCGUGGGGGAUAACGUAGGGAAACUUACGCUAAUACCGCAUACGACCUACGGGUGAAAGCAGGGGACCUUCGGGCCUUGCGCGAUUGAAUGAGCCGAUGUCGGAUUAGCUAGUUGGCGGGGUAAAGGCCCACCAAGGCGACGAUCCGUAGCUGGUCUGAAAGGAUGAUCAGCCACACUGGAACUGAGGCACGGUCCAGACUCCUACGGGAGGCAGCAGUGGGGAAUAUUGGACAAUGGGCGCAAGCCUGACCCAGCCAUACCGCGUGGGUGAAGAAGGCCUUCGGGUUGUAAAGCCCUUUUGUUGGGAAAGAAAUCCAGCUGGCUAAUACCCGGUUGGGAUGACGGUACCCAAAGAAUAAGCACCGGCUAACUUCGUGCCAGCCGCCGCAGUAA